rnacentral:rRNA from 1 species
UACGUAGGGGGCAAGCGUUGUCCGGAUUUAUUGGGCGUAAAGAGCGUGUAGGCGGCCAUACAGGUCCGUUGUGAAAACUGGAGGCUUAACCUCCAGACGUCGAUGGAAACCGUAUGGCUAGAGUCCGGAAGAGGCGAGUGGAAUUCCUGGUGUAGCGGUGGAAUGCGCAGAUAUCAGGAGGAACACCAAUAGCGAAGGCAGCUCGCUGGGACGGUACUGACGCUAAGGCGCGAAAGCGUGGGGAGCGAACAGG